rnacentral:rRNA from 1 species
GACGAACGCUGGCGGCGUCCUUAACACAUGCAAGUCGAGCGGUAAGGCCCUUUCGGGGGUACACGAGCGGCGAACGGGUGAGUAACACGUGGGUGACCUGCCCUCAGCUCUGGGAUAAGCCCGGGAAACUGGGUCUAAUACCGGAUAUGACUCCACGGUGCAUGUCGUGGGGUGGAAAGCCUUGUGCGGCUAAGGAUGGGCCCGCGGCCUAUCAGCUUGUUGGUGGGGUGAUGGCCUACCAAGGCGACGACGGGUAGCCGGCCUGAGAGGGCGACCGGCCACACUGGGACUGAGACACGGCCCAGACUCCUACGGGAGGCAGCAGUGGGGAAUCUUGCGCAAUGGGCGAAAGCCUGACGCAGCGACGCCGCGUGAGGGAUGACGGCCU